ACACGGAAGCCGAGCACGGGCACACUCCCCCUCCUGACCUCCUCCCAGCUCGCCCCCCGCAUCUAUCCCUCCCUCCCUCUCUCGCCCUGCCAUCUCCGGAGCUGCUCUUACCUCACCUCACCUCACCACGAGCGCGCCCUCGCCCUCGCCCCCGUCCCCAUCCCCGUCCCCUGCUCGCCCGGCGCUCGCGCAGAUUCCGCCGUCCGGGGAGCGGCGUUGAGGCCUUGCUCAGAUGAGCUCGGGGGCCGUGGCGGCCUCGGAUCCGGGGGGUGGCGAGCCGAAGCUGGUGCCGGGCGCUGACGUGGCGAUGACCGAAGCAGAUGGCGUGGUGGCUGCUCCCGCCGCCGAGGUGAAGGGGGAGGGGAAGGCUGCGGUGGCGGCGGAUGUUGGCCGGGAAGGGGGAGAUGCGGAGGCUGCCGCGUUGAGCGACCCGCUUUAUGCGACGGAGUCGGCUGGUAUGGUUGGUGUAGAAGGGCCUGGAGGCGAGCCAGUGGAGGAGGGGGUGAAUGGUGGCGAGGAUGGGAGGCUGGAAGCUGGAAGUCUGCAGAAUGAGACGGAGGGGAAGCCGGUUCUGGUCGGAGAUGUAGCUGCUGAUGCUGGUCAAGAGGUGGAAGCAGCUAGUUCUGCUGCUUCCAAACAUGAGGAAGCCGAAUCCAAUGAACUUGAAGAAAAUCAUAUAAAUGCCGAGCGUGGGACAGAGAAUAAUGAAAUUGAUUACGGUGUAGCACAUUCUGGUAAGGAAAUACAGAACAACAGGCCUGGUGAGGUCGAGGGAAGCUCCAAGAUCCAUGAAGAUGAUGGAGCACCUGCAGCUGACCAACCGGAUGAUGGAUCUGUAAUGCUGCUGCAAACAGAGGAGCAGUUUCCUGCCAGCGGAAAUGGUCCGAGUAGUAACGAAGAGGCUUCUAGUUUAGGAAAUGUUAUUCAGGGUGCUAGAUACAGUCUGCCUCCUCUUGAUAAAGGCAGUUUUCAAGUUGCCGAUCUCGUCUGGGGUAAAGUAAAAAGUCAUCCUUGGUGGCCUGGUGAAAUUUUUGAUCCAUCAGAUGCAUCUGAAUUGGCGCUGAAGCACCAGAAAAAGGGGAGCCGCUUGGUAGCUUAUUUUGGUGACAAUACUUUUGCAUGGUGCGAUGAAUCCCAGUUGAAGCCUUUCGUAUCAAAUUAUUCACACAUGGAGAAACAGAGCAGUUCAGAUGCCUUUGUCGGGUCGGUUAAUAAUGCCCUCGAAGAACUUUCAAGGCGGAUACUGUCAGGUAUGAGCUGCUCUUGUUUGCCGGAAGAGCUUGCUGAUAAUGGCAUGUCCUACACGGUUGAUAAUGCUGGCCUCAAGGAAGGAGUUACUUGCUCUGCAGUUAAUCGGCCUGAGAUCAUAAAGGGUUUUAGUCCAGAAAACCUUCUGCAUUACAUUAAGGAGUUAGCUCUAUUUCCUGGCCAAGGAGGUGAUCUGUUGGAGUUAGUGAUAGCAUGUUCUCAACUUACUUCGUUCUAUCGAUCAAAGGGAUGUCCUGAACUUGCAUCAUUUCAAACUGGUGAUGCUUGGGUUGAGGAUGGGCUAGGGCUGGAUGGCACGGACACUUCAGCCACCCAGAAUGUAAUGGUCGAGGAAGUUGUGGUUAAUGAAGUGCAUCCUACUCAAGAUAAGCCAAAAAGAGGGAGGGGGAGACCUCGGAAACAAAAACCUGUGGAUGACCAGGUGGUCACGGAGAAAAAGAACAUGUCUAAUCGGGCCAAUGAUACUAGCUAUGAUGAGAAACAAAUGCUUACGGACUUUGAUGAUUUUGACAACUUCCAAAACAAGAAGAAAAGAAACUUCGAAUCAUUUGAAGAUUCAGAGAAAGCAUCAGCUCCAACUGGUGGUAGUUCUUUCAAGAUUGGCGAGUGCAUUCGGCGAGCUGCAAGCCAGCUGACAGGAUCAUCCAUUGUGAAGGCUCAGAAUGAAUCAACAGGCUAUAAGAAUGCUGCUGAAACAGAGAAUGGAGAAUUUGAUAUCUCUAGUGAUGACGCAGUUGAUGAACUUACUGUGGAGAAGCGAGCAAAAAGGAGACGCUUGCACAGGAACCACACUGCAGACCCCAAGGAAUUACUAUCACAGCUAUGCUUGGUUGCAACAGAGCCAAUGAGUGGGUAUAGUUUCUCGGCAAUGAUAAUCAGUUACUUCAAUGAUUACCGAAACUAUAUUGUUUCUACUACUACUGAAGCAAACAUUGUUGAAAAAGGUACAUCAAGGAGGGGGAGAAAGAGAAAAGAGGUUUUACCUUCUCCUGAAGUAGAGACAACAGAUCAUAUGCAAGACUCCUAUUGGUCUGGAUUGAGCUUGCAUAAUCACCCAAUUCAUGACCUCAGAAAAGAAGGUCCUUCUACAAGGCCAAGACGUAGGCGGAGAUCCUCAAGACAUACAUAUGUACCUUUGUCGGAACUUGGAGAUUCAGUUCCUAAAAAACAGAUACAAGUGAUGGAAAGGUCAAUCAUCCAUGUUGAUGAGAAGAUGGUUGACGAGUUGAAGCCCACUGCACUUGUUUUGAGCUUUGGCAGGUCAGCUUCUAUUCCUUCAGAAUUGGAUCUAAUUAAGAUGUUCAGUCGCUAUGGGCCUCUGAAAGAAGCGGAGACAGAAGUAGACAAGGACACAAAUACUGUUAAAGUUGUCUUUAAGAAACGUGCAGAUGCUGAAAGGGCUUUUAGAGUUGCUGGCAAGUAUGGCACUUUUGGACCUUCGCUUCGAAGCUACCGUCUUGUGAAUAUGCCGUUCUCUCUAAAGACAUUAUCAACAAAUAAUCCUGUGAAACACCCUGAAGAUCAUGGCACAGAGAUUCCUGGUUCAAGUAAGUCUGAAGCUCCUAAGGAUGACAUGGAAGUUGACCAGGUGCACAAAGCAGAGGAAGCAGAAGUUGCAGGAGAACUUUCCGUUGAACAAGUGGAGAACGUGAAGCAAACAUCUCUAGUGGAAUCUGCAGAUGCUACAUUCACCAAUCAAGUUGUGGAUGAGAAAACUGGAAAGAUGGAUACUGAGCUAAUUAGCCAUGUUAAUCAAAUUGGAACAGCGGCACAUGCUGCAUCUGUACCUGAAGGUUCAUCUGAGCAAGUUGGCAAUGCUGAGCAAGCUUACACUCAGAAGGAAGCCUUGACCAGUGGUCUACCUGAGAUUCCUCAGUCUGGAGCUGUGACUGGUGCAUCAAUUGGAGGCGCGGUUGAUGAAAUACAGCUGAGUGAUGCUCCAAAUCAAGUAUCGACUGGUGAUACAACAAAUACAUUCCAAGUGGAAGCUGCUUCAGAGGCACAAAUUUUACAUUUUGAUGCUACAAUAAAAGAGUCAGCUCAAGAUGUUUCAGAAGAUAUGCAAAUGGAUGUUGUAGCUGAAGCCCCCAAACAGGAUCACAUUUCUGGAGAUAAUAGUGUAUUUGAAGCAGUCACUGAAGCACCAGGUGCUGCACAAGUUCGUACUGCCAAUGAAGUUCCAGAAGAGCGCGUGGUACCUCCUGUAUUACAGAGUCAAACCUCCUGUGAAGAACUGGUGGAACAAGAUGCAACUGAGCAAAAAGUGGGAUCUGAAGGUCCAAAGUUGGAAGCUGAAACAUUUGCUGCAGAACCUUUUGGACCAGGUGCAGUCGAGCAAGAAGUUGAGGUGGAAUCUGAAACUACCGUUGAAGUAUCUGGCGAACAAGUCUACAGUAUUGAGCAAACUGUUCAAGUGGAAGCUGUGACUGAAGCAUCAGCUGGACAACUUGAGGUGGGAAGACAAACUCCAGAAGAUGAAUCUAUGGCUGAUGCAACCACUGAGCACUCUACGAUCAUGGUUGAGGAAAUUGUGGAGGCAAAAGGAGUAGCAGUCGAGGAGAAUAUAGAAAGUAAUAAUGUUGCUGCCAUAGGUGUAGCUGAGGAGACUGCUGAGGGUGAAGUUAAGGAGGAAGCACCAGUGGCGAAGGGGGAAAUAGAAAAUAACGCUGCUGCUGACACACUAGCUGGGGAGACCAGAGAAGGUGAAAUUACAGUUGAGGCACCAGAUGGGAAAGCAGAAAAUGAAGCUAUUGCUGAAACAAUAACUGGGGAGACAGCUGAAGGUCAAACUGCAGCUGAAGUACCACUUGGAGAAGCUAGAACAGCUGAGGAAAUGAUAGAGGAUGUUAAGGAGCUGGAUGACAAAGGUACAUCAGCUGAGAAACCUGUAGAGGAUGCCACGGUUGUAACACCAGAUGAGAGGACUACAGUCGGUAAGACACUUGAGGAUGCCCAGGUUGAGCAACCAAAUGAGAAAACUACUACAGCUGAGACAACUGUGCAGGAUGCCAUGGUUGAGCCACCAGGUACAAAGGCCUCAGAGGCUGAAAAAACUGCGGAGGGUGCCACGCUUAAAGCACCAGAUGAGAAAGGUACAGCAGCAGAGAAGACCAUAGAAGAUACCACGGUUGAGGCACAAGAUGUACAAGCAGGUGCAAGUGAGUAAGCCAGCUAGCAUAUGUUGCAUCCCUGUCAGCUUCUGUUGAUAUCGACGUAGACUGCUCAACUUAUUCUCAGCUAGACGAUGUGGUCUGUAUAGAAAAAAGAGAACCCGUUUUAGCAUCAAAAUGCUAUUAGCGCUCGGGCGAUCAGCAACUGAGUGAAGACAAUCAGAUCGGAGAAGCCAUGUUCAUUCCUACGUUUCACGGUCAGGCUUGGGAGUCUUUGGGCAUUCUACUGGAAUCCGAUGAUUCUUGUACCAUUUGUCAUUUGUAACCUAACUGUGUUCUGGAACCCUUUAUCUUACCCGUAGAAUCUUUUAGACGAAUUCUGUCUGCUCAUUGAUUGAUCAUCGAUUUCAGUAACCUUUUUUGUGGUA